GACGAACGCUGGCGGCGUGCUUAGCACAUGCAAGUCGAACGAAGAGCGAUGGAAGCUUGCUUCUAUCAAUCUUAGUGGCGAACGGGUGAGUAACGCGUAAUCAACCUGCCCUUCAGAGGGGGACAACAGUUGGAAACGACUGCUAAUACCGCAUACGAUCUAAUCUCGGCAUCGAGGAUAGAUGAAAGGUGGCCUCUACAUGUAAGCUAUCACUGAAGGAGGGGAUUGCGUCUGAUUAGCUAGUUGGAGGGGUAACGGCCCACCAAGGCGAUGAUCAGUAGCCGGUCUGAGAGGAUGAACGGCCACAUUGGGACUGAGACACGGCCCAGACUCCUACGGGAGGCAGCAGUGGGGAAUCUUCCGCAAUGGACGAAAGUCUGACGGAGCAACGCCGCGUGAGUGAUGACGGCCUUCGGGUUGUAAAGCUCUGUUAAUCGGGACGAAAGGCCUUCUUGCGAACAGUUAGAAGGAUUGACGGUACCGGAAUAGAAAGCCACGGCUAACUACGUG
rnacentral:rRNA from 1 species